rnacentral:miRNA from 1 species
AAUAUUUUUAACGAUUUUC